rnacentral:piRNA from 1 species
UAAGUGUGAGCAUGUAUAUGU